AUAGCUGGCAAGCAUAAUGAUGACAUUUACCAGGGCUCUCUUCCCUGAUGACUUCGAGCAGGCUUGAAAUUCACAGAUUAGAAGGUAGCUUAUUUCAGGAGGAACACCCUAUGUACGAUGAUUAAUUACCAAAUUGUUGUUGGGCAUGAAUCAGAAGGUGGCAUUACUCCCACAACGGGUGACGAAUCACAAGGUUUAUACUCCGAGGACUGCGCCUUAUGCUAGUGAGGAAAUUGACGUGGUUCGUGAGCAAUGGGCGAAGUUUUUUACCAGCAAGUAUUUAUUAUUGACCUGAGCGCGCUUGAUCGAGUUGGUUUAGAUGUUAUAGAACAAUCUUUUAUGUUAA